rnacentral:lncRNA from 1 species
GAUUAUGUACAAAAAAUGUACAAUGUAAAUAAAUUGAACCAAGUAAUGUACUAAAAUAUGCUAUGUUAUAAUUUAAAACUCGUUAUGUUAGUCUUUUGAAAAAAAUUAAACUCAAAAGAGAUAUACUUGUUUACAGUGCAAAUUAAUGGCAAUAAUAGGGAUUUACGAUUUAAUUUGCAGGAAAAACAUGGGCAACCUACCCAGUUGGUAAAAUUUCAAUUCAAAAACUCUUUAGAUUUUACUGUGUGGAUGUCACAGGAAGAGAAACAAAAUAAUAUUCAGUCACAGGAGUACAAGAACAUGAAACAUCUUAUUAUGUAUGUAUGCCAUUCUCAAACAAUUAUUGUACAAAACAAGAUUAGAGAAGAGCUUUAAAAUCCCAAGGAUCCUGCGAAAAGAAAAGUGAAAAUGUUUUCUCAAUUAAUGUAGUAUAGAUAGACAUUUUUCUUUAUUUUAGUAUUAAAUAAUUAUUUAGAAUAUUAAUAGGUAUUAGUUUUAAUAGUAUUAAUAUGUAUUGUAUGAAUAAUUCCCAUCAUAUAUCUUCUGGCUAAAGUUACAAAAUAAAUAAAAAUGAAAAAACAUUUAAGUGGUGUAGCACCUUUACUUUACCUGGGGACGAGGUGAGUUAUUAGGUAAAUUCUAUUUUCUUACAUAAUAUAGGUACAUAUAUAAUAUACUUAAAAAUUAAUGGUGGUAUUAUUGUGGUUUAUAUUGAAAGCCAAAGCAAGUAAGAAUAAGAAGAUAUAGGUAGCAGUAUAAGAAGACGUGGCUACAGGUGAAGCGUGUUCAUGAAUGUGUUAAUAAUAAUAAUUUUAUAUCUAUUUUGUUAAUACAUUUUACUAUUAAAGACAAUUAUUAAAAUAUGCCAAAAACGCCCACAAAGUGGCUUUAAGUUUUAUUACACAGUAUGUGGACUUCAACUAGGAAGAUUAUGUUAAGUAUGAGCAGAAUAAAGGCUAACAAUUUUGA